CUAAGUUACGAUAAGCACAUAUCGAAUCUAGUGUCGUCCUGCCUUUAUAAACUGUGCCAGAUAAACAGAGUUAAAAAUAAUUUUGACAAGGGAACACUUACAAUGAUAAUCACUUCAUUAGUGAUCAGUAAACUGCUCUACUGUUCCACUGUAUGGUCAAAUACAACAUGCACUAAUAUAAAGAAACUUCAAUCUAUUCAAAACUUUGCAUGUAAAAUAAUCACAGGAUCCAAGAAAUACGAUCAUGUAAGCCCAUUACUCCAAAAUCUUGAGUGGCUUACAGUUGACAAAUUACUCUAUUUCCGUGAUGCCGUAAUGACUUUUAAAUGCAUGAACAACUUAGCGCCGAAAUAUCUUUGUGACAUGUUUGAGAAACGAUCUUGUAUUCAUAAUCGGUCUACGCGGAACUGCAACUCAAUACAGAUACCAUUGUUUAAAACAGCGUCAGGGCAACGGUCAUUUGCUUUUAGAGGAGCUUCAAUUUGGAAUAACUUAGCCACUGAGCUAAAGAAAUGUACAUCACUUAAGACAUUUAAAAGUCAACUUAAAGAACACUUACUGUCUACUUAGACUAUAGACUACUUCCUAUUUUAGACUAUUAAAAACUUAGAUAUCAGUCAUUUUUAUUCCUAACUUUGUAGAAACUGUAAAUAUUUUAAAAUUGUAGUUUUAUAAAAUAAUUUUGUAAAUGGGUUCUGAAAAACCCUUUUGGGAGAAACCAUAAAUUUUAAUAAUAAUAAUAAUAAUAAUUAAUGUUUGCUAUUGCGGUCAUUUGCCCGACAAGGCUAGAUCGCCGACUAGCCUUGGCCGCCAACGGCACCUACCUCCAAACUCGGAUACUCUGCCGUUAAGUGUGGUUAAACGUAGAUUUAAGCGAAGUUAACGGCAGAUGUAUCUAGCAGCGGCGAGCCCCUGACGUCACUUAGAACAGUUGCAAUUAUCGCGCAUCCGUCACUUUGCUACAGCUUGGCUAGCCAGCUACAACUGCUCUUUCGCUCUGUUCCCCUUCGCCCUUUUCCCACCCUGGUUAAUGUUUGUUGAUACUCGGGUUAAUUUCUUUAUUUUUGUUUUAGUUUUGUGUUUUUUGUUGUUUUGUUUUGGUUGUUUUGAGUUUUUUUAUUUGAUUUCUUUAUAGAAUACAAUCGAAAGACUACUAUAGAAUGCGUCCUUUUUUCCACUGAUCAUCAGUGUGACAGGUGCCGGAGGUCUGCGUUGGCAGAAUUGUUAUGGCAAACUCCCAUUGCUAC